rnacentral:rRNA from 1 species
CAGUAGCCGCGGUAAAACGGAGGGUGCAAGCGUUAAUCGGAAUUACUGGGCGUAAAGCGCACGCAGGCGGUUUGUUAAGUCAGAUGUGAAAUCCCCGAGCUUAACUUGGGAACUGCAUUUGAAACUGGCAAGCUAGAGUCUUGUAGAGGGGGGUAGAAUUCCAGGUGUAGCGGUGAAAUGCGUAGAGAUCUGGAGGAAUACCGGUGGCGAAGGCGGCCCCCUGGACAAAGACUGACGCUCAGGUGCGAAAGCGUGGGGAGCAAACAGGAUUAGAUACCCCGGUAGUCCCUGUCUCUUAUAC